rnacentral:lncRNA from 1 species
CAAGGAUAAAGCUUCCUAGCUAAGAGCCGAAAUCUAUUAGCUAUUGCAGCCAUUCUUAUAAUUGGUCAGCUAUCUACCACCUUUCGUAAUGCUCAUCUGGUCUCCGUUUUGAAAAAGCUUCCAUGGAUACUGUACCGCCUCGUGGCCCCAACGUUGAUCAAGAAAGCAAGCCUAUAAAGAGUGGAUGUCUGUCAGUUUAGUACACCAAUGUCAGUGCAGAAUGCAUGGACACAUUGAAUUAAUUAUCUUGGCUUUUUCUUUUCUUUUCCUUUUAUUUUCAUGGGUCCCUGUAAUAAUUAAAGAAGAGAUGUGAAAUGAGUGAAGUACAUGGAUUAAUAUAUACCUUCAGUCAACGGGAAGUUGAGGGCACUCUCCAUUGCAGUGGUCGAAAAAAGUGGAGAGCUAAAGGCUUGUUUGGAAGCUCGAGCGAGAUUGUGCUGAAAUUGAAAUUCCAACUUCACGAAUUGUCACUUUUUGCUUUUUAUUUAAAAAUAAAUAGAAAUAUUUUUUUAACAUUAAUAUAUU